rnacentral:lncRNA from 1 species
GGAUGGAUGGCCCACCCGAGAAGCGCUUCCAGGCAGCCGCGUUCACCGGUGGAACCGUCAGGUCACUCCGGAUCCAUUGUAAUGAGCUGCCGUCAGUGCGCCCAUAGGGGGAACAGGGACCCCACACUAAAGGGGGGGACACAUAGGGAUGGAUGGGAUCUAUAGGGAUGGAUGGGAUCUAUAGGGGAUGGAUGGGAUCUAUAGGGGAUGGAUGGGACCCACGGCGCUGCAGGAGGGCGUUGGUGGCAACCGUAGUGCCCAUCCGGAUCCAUUGUAAUGAGCUGCCGUCCAGUGCGCCCAUAGGGGGAACAGGGACCCCACACUAAAGGGGGGACAAAACAUAGGGAUGGUUGGACUAUAGGGCAUGGAUGGGAUUAUAGGGGAAUAGAUAGGGCUCUCUCAGCGGCAUGAUGGGAUCUAUAGAGGAUGGAUGACACAUAAGGAUGGAUGCGGGAACACAAAAUAAGAGAGAAAAUGGAUGGGAUCUAUAGG